GCCCCGGCUAACUACGUGCCAGCAGCCGCGGUAAUACGUAGGGGGCUAGCGUUGUCCGGAAUCACUGGGCGUAAAGGGUUCGCAGGCGGAAAUGCAAGUCAGAUGUAAAAGGCAGUAGCUUAACUACUGUAAGCAUUUGAAACUGUAUAUCUUGAGAAGUGUAGAGGUAAGUGGAAUUUUUAGUGUAGCGGUGAAAUGCGUAGAUAUUAAAAAGAAUACCGGUGGCGAAGGCGACUUACUGGGCACAUUCUGACGCUGAGGAACGAAAGCGUGGGUAGCAAACAGGAUUAGAUACCCUGGUAGUCCACGCUGUAAACGAUGAGUGCUAGGUGUCGGCAAAAGUCGGUGCCGCAGUUAACACAUUAAGCACUCCGCCUGGGGAGUACGUGCGCA
rnacentral:rRNA from 1 species